GUUUUGGAUCAAUAAUAUGAUGAGUUAUCAAACACUCUUUAAGCUAGAUAGUAUCUGAAAUUAUAAUGAUUUUAGUGUAUUUGAACAUUUUUAAUACCUCUGAUAUUUUUCCAAAAC